UGUCAGGUUUUACUCACUAUACUUUCAUUUGCAGGUCAUCACUCGUUGAACUUUACAAAGUUGCACUCCAUCACUAACUUGCUAACUUUCGUCUUCACAGUCCGCCUACGUCGAAGACGGCUUUUAUAUGUGGCCAUCAAAUGAAGCAAAUGGAAGGAUGAAUUGCCCAAUCAGAUUAACCAAAAAUGCCUCACCCAAUUUCAACAUUGAAGUUACGAUUUGGGAACCAAUUUUCUUCAAAAACGCUCGGUCUCCAUCAGCUCUGAAGGUGAAAUCUUCCAAACUCCAUUGAACCCCGAUUCCCCAAAAUCAACCUUCAGUGAAUUUGAAGAACUGCAAAGGGUGAUUGUUGAAUCGAUUAAAUGGAGAGAAUGCGCGAAGGAAAGAACAAGAGAAUUUGCCACUGUUACAGAGAACCAGGCCACCAAUUUUGGGUAUGCCCAAAGAAGCAGUAAUGUCCAGAUUGUGCUGAAGGCAUCAUGAAAUGGAUGGAAUUAGAAAGGACGAAGAACAUAGUUCGGUUAUUCUUUGUUGCACUAGAAAUUGUGAGUUCUUUGAAUAGAGCAAAAUCCCACCCCACAAAUGUAAACUAUUACAAGAUGAAGGUCAGUUAAAUGGUGUUAAAGAUGAAUGAAAAGG